rnacentral:rRNA from 1 species
UACGUAGGGACCAAGCGUUGUCCGGAAUCAUUGGGCGUAAAGCGCGCCGUAGGUGGCCAUUUAAGUCCGCUGUGAAAGCAAAGGCUCAACCUUUGAAAAGCCGGUGGAUACUGGGUGGCUAGAGUACGGAAGAGGCGAGUGGAAUUCCUGGUGUAGCGGUGGAAUGCGCAGAUAUCAGGAAGAACACCCGUGGCGAAGGCGGCUCUCUGGAACGCAACUGACGCUGAGACGCGAAAGCGUGGGUAGCAAACAGG